CCGGGGCUCAGUCCCUGAGGGCCGGGCGGAUGGCGGGAAAGGGCGGCAGGACAAGACGGGAGCUGUGUUGGAACACGGGAACAGACACAGUUCUGGAGAACCAGGCCUGUUGUGCAGCUCCUGG